rnacentral:rRNA from 1 species
UACGAGGGGGGCGAGCGUUGUUCGGAAUUAUUGGGCGUAAAGGGCGCGUAGGCGGCCACCGCAAGUCAGUUGUGAAAUCUCUGGGCUUAACCCAGAACGGUCAGCUGAUACUGCGGGGCUAGAGUGCAGAAGGGGCAACUGGAAUUCUCGGUGUAGCGGUGAAAUGCGUAGAUAUCGAGAGGAACACCUGCGGCGAAGGCGGGUUGCUGGGCUGACACUGACGCUGACAGCGCGAAAGCUAGGGGAGCGAACGGG